rnacentral:rRNA from 1 species
CCUACGGGUGGCAGCAGUGAGGAAUAUUGGUCAAUGGGCGCGAGCCUGAACCAGCCAAGUAGCGUGAAGGAUGACUGCCCUACGGGUUGUAAACUUCUUUUAUAAAGGAAUAAAGUGAGGCACGUGUGCCUUUUUGUAUGUACUUUAUGAAUAAGGAUCGUCUAACUCCGUGCCAGGAGCCGCGGUAAUACGGAGGAUCCGAGCGUUAUCCGGAUUUAUUGGGUUUAAAGGGAGCGUAGAUGGGUUGUUAAGUUAGUUGUGAAAGUUUGCGGCUCAACCGUAAAAGUGCAAUUGAUACUGGCAGACUUGAGUACAGUUGAGGUAGGCGGAAUUCGUGGUGUAGCGGUGAAAUGCUUAGAUAUCACGAAGAACUCCGAUUGCGAAGGCAUCUCACGAAUCCGCGAUUGACGCUGAUGCACGAAAGCGUGGGUAGCAAACAGGAUUAGAUACCCGAGUAGUC